AGUGAACGCUGGCGGCAGGCCUAACACAUGCAAGUCGAGCGGCAGCGCGGGGGCAACCCUGGCGGCGAGCGGCGGACGGGUGAGGAAUUCGUCGGAAUCUGCCUUUUUGUGGGGGAUAACGUAGGGAAACUUACGCUAAUACCGCAUACGACCUACGGGUGAAAGUGGGGGACCGCAAGGCCUCACGCAGAAAGAUGAGCCGACGACCGAUUAGCUAGUUGGUGGGGUAAAGGCCCACCAAGGCGACGAUCGGUAGCUGGUCUGAGAGGAUGAUCAGCCACACUGGGACUGAGACACGGCCCAGACUCCUACGGGAGGCAGCAGUGGGGAAUAUUGGACAAUGGGCGCAAGCCUGAUCCAGCCAUGCCGCGUGUGUGAAGAAGGCCUUCGGGUUGUAAAGCACUUUUGUCCGGAAAGAAAUCUUCCAACUUAAUACGUUGGGAGGAUGACGGUACCGGAAGAAUAAGCACCGGCUAACUUCGUGCCAGCCGCCGCCGCAG
rnacentral:rRNA from 1 species